ensembl:lncRNA
UAUGAGGAUAAGUAAAUGACCACAGAAUGUUCAUUUUUGGCAAAGUAUUCCUUAAAUGAUCCUUGUUCUUCAGAAAACAUUUGCUGAUUUCCGCAUUGAUAAAGAGCUUUGUGUUUUUUUUACUGCAGGGUGAGUGGGCUCAACCAGGAUAUUAGCAAGAAACUGUUAUCUGGGUGGAGUCCUGUGCUUUCUCCAUUAACCAUUAAAGGAAGCAUCGCUGAACUGCAACACCCUGAGAAGGUCAGCUGUGAUUUGCCAUUUCUGGUGAAUAAAUAAACAGACUGAGAAUGUGGAUGGUGCCUACCUGCUCUGUGUCUGUUGCUGUGAGAGUGUAGCGUGCUUUGAAGUUUCCACCUGGGUGCAGGACUGCACACAAACUGCACUGGCUGUAGAGGGUGGAUUGGGUAAGUGUGUGUGAUAGAGAACCAGCCCACCUGUACCUAUGCUCAAGAGAAUAUUCACAUGCGCUCUGUGAGUGUAGGACAAGCUUAAAGCCAUAGCGACAAUGUCUGUCAAGUGAGUUCUUUGAGUGUGUGAUAUGUUUUUAUCCAAAUAAUGAAACAUUUUGGCAUUUUUAUCACGUU